AGGGCCUGGUGCAGCAUAAAUAUCAUUCUGAACUUAUGGAGCUACGAGUCUGGAAUGGAACUGGAAUCCAUUUAAGAGUGAAAGCAUCCAGCAUCUGGCUGAGUAUUCCUUGGCGUAAGCUUAUCAUCAUAAUAUCCAAAGUUCUCCUGAGGCUAGUUGACUUUUGCCAACUAAUUUAAGCUGAGGGUUCAGUGAGCGCUCUUAAGAGGUUUCCUUCAGCCGAACCCUCGAAUCCACC
rnacentral:lncRNA from 1 species